rnacentral:tRNA from 1 species
GGCAAGAUGGCCGAGCGGUCUAAGGCGCCGUGUUCAGGUUCUAAAUCUGGAUUCGCGGUCCGAAAGGGCGUGGGUUCGAAUCCCACUCUUGUCA